AUUGAGUCCCAUAAGCAGAGUACAGUAAUGUUUUAAAAUAAUGUUUAACAGAAAUGAUUUGGUGCUACAUUGUAUUAAAGUGUAAAAUUGACCCCAGAGCUAGGUUUUAAAAUCUUUGUAGUUAAUUAGGCUUCAUGUUGGACCUGCCCAAAAAAAGAAUGAAGGACUGAGAUAUUUCAAGAUAGUACUGGUCCAAACCAAAUGAGCUGAGAGAUUUUGGUGUGCUUCACUUGGUUCCCUGACUUGAUAGCCACCUGUCUCCAGCUUUGUAACUGUCAGAGAUCAUGAACCCUGUGAGAAAUAGAGGAGGAGGGAGGGACUAAUGUGUUAUAUGUGUGCAGGCUCGUAUGCUGGUCAUUUUACCUACUUUUUCACUUAUUUCUCAACAGUCCUGUGAGGAAACAAAUAGGCCCAGUUUCUGAUAAAUGCAUCCAUGGUUACCAGAUAUGAAGUCCAGGAGCCCCAAGGGCUGAGCAGACACUUUGCUGUAUCAUUGUAGCUGACGCUGGCCACAGUGGUGACUGAGCAGGAUCUGCCCAGAGACUUUUGGGGAAAGUCUGAAAUCUUUAACUGG
rnacentral:sRNA from 1 species